GUUUUUUUCCCCUCAGUGAUAGGUCAGAUUUAAUUUUGGUUUUAACCAAAGCAAAUGCUUUCCUGGAGACCUUCUAUUUUAGUGAAAAUAAGUAAUGAAAAAAUAACCGAAACAAGUCACAGUAUCAAAAGGAAAGACCUUAGAAAGCUUAGUGGUGACCCUUUCUUUUUCUGUUUCCUUUCCCAUCCUCCUGUUGCCAGUGAAGAAAGAGAAAUGAAAAUUCGGGUUUGCUUUUCAAUUAAGUAACAAGAAUGACUCAAAGUUUAUGAAACAUGGAGGGUUUACAUUGAAAAUGCUUGCUGCUUUUCAACUUUGUGUCUUGCCUAGGUUCACCCUACUCAUCAUAUUGCCAACCUCCUGUUUUCCUUUCCCUUCUCCUCCCACCAGCUCUGCAGUUUACCACUCUAGGGUGAGAAGAGCUGUUCCCAGCAUGCUAAUUUUGCCACUGAGCAGGCUCAUCUGUAUCUUGUAAAAGGGAGAUUACCACAAAUGUGCACCCUCACCACACUCUGCUUCUGCGGUAGGAGAGGACUUCUGGCACUGGGGCUCCCAGUGCUGUCCCUGCUGUGCCAGGACCGCAAUGACGGGUCUUCAGAAGAAUAAGGGGAAAAAAGCCCCAGCUGCAACUUCAAGGAAUGGCUCAAUGUGCUAUUCAUGGCUUGAAAGAACAGCACUGCUAUCCAUAGUGGCAGUUUGUGAGUGUGAACCUUCUUAGAUGGUUCUCAUGCUCAGAUUUCUGUGCUGCAGCUCGUUAGCAGGAGAGCUGCCUGCGGGGCUGCAGCAGGUUUGCAGUACGACAGGAUAUGCACUAAAAUAAAAAUCUGGUUAGGGGUGGUGUGAUUCCAGUGCUGGCUGGGCACUGGCAAUUAAGCCUGCAUGAAAAUAAGACACCUGGACUUUGUAACUCUUGGGAUGUGACAUACCACUUGCUGAGGGCCAUCACUGCCCAGGAAAGCACUAAAACAGGUGUAUAAAUCCUACUGUGUUCAGUGGGAUUUAGGCACCUGCUUAAAUUUAAGUGCUUGUUUAGAGAGUUUCCUGAAUGAAAGCCUGACAAUUGCGCCCAAGAGUAACUUUUAAAUUAGUUUUAAUUUGCUCAUCAUAACCAGCUGUCAUGAGUCUAUGUAAAAAGGGUUUGAUUUUGGAAAGAUGAAAGACUUCCCAGGUCCUUGGCUUUCAUGUAAGCACCCUUCCCGGAUGGCCAGCACCCUGCUCAGAUGAAGCAGCCCUGCUUUUAUUCAUCCUUGCUCUGUGGUCCCGCUGGGGCUGCGGUGUUAGCUGAGCACUCUGCAAAGCAAACUGCCCUGCCAGCAACUGACAUCACCUGACUGUGCCUCUCCAGCCAUGUCCCAUCUGAGGCAAUCUGCAGGAUGAAACAGAGGAAGAGAGAGUCCACUCUGUAUUUAGGAGGUUCCAAGUCAGCCGUGUCAAGAUUUGAACAAGAAUCAAGGAGGAUAAUAGGUCAGAUGUAAUUAAGAGGUCUCCAAGGAGCUCUGGGACAGCGUGAGAGGACAGGGCACUGCCAGCUGCUGUGUGAGAGCUGGAGCCUGCCACAGCGUGAGAGGGGCCAGCAGUGAGAAACGGGCUGCCUGCACAAGUCUGAAGGUUUAGCUCUGCCAGAGGUUAGAAAAGAGGUUGUUUGUCUGAAGAGACACGGGUGUGGUGAAAAUACUCAGUGCCGGCCAAGUGAACCAAAACACUAUCUGAAUUACAAAGCAGGCUGGAAAAUAAAAUGUAACUGUCGGAAGAUCUGGACCUGACCUGUGCUGAGAGACAGAUAAAAAAGAAGUCACAGGAGCUGGCCAUGUACAUCUGGAGCAGACAGGACACAACUCUCAGACUGAAUUAGGCCCGUUUGGAUAGGUUUUUUAAAAUCUCCAUGAGUAACAAACAGAGAAGACUUUUUCCCUCACACUGGCCUGGACUGAACACUUGGUAGGCAGUAACAUGCGAACUCUGACCACAUCACUGGUGUGAAAUUGCUGAUUAACCUUUUGACUCUGACAAUUGGGACUUCUCUCAACACCAACUGUUUCUUCAAAGUUCUUUUUAGAGCACUAUGCAAAGAAAGAGAAAGAAAUUCUCCACUCUGUGUGAACACAUCUGCUAUUAAUGCUGAGGGGAGUUAAGUGUCCGCUUCUACAGGAGAAUUCACCCCAGUGUUCUAUACUGAAAGGACACUUCAAAAGAGCAGUGCCCACAUAAGAAACAGCAAACUGCUCUUCAGAGGCAAUAUCCUGAUAUGACAACAGAUGUAGAUAAUGUACUUCAUGAUGGAACUGCUUGAUACAGAGAGAAACAUGUUGUAACUGCCUUCACCAUGAAAGGGGUUUAAAAAUGCUGCCUGCCAACUCCACAAAAACCAGAGCUGCUAUUUCGGUUAAAGGCCAGUGGAUUGUAUUUUUCACGUCAGUUUUCACUAACCUCAAACAUCACUGUUAUGACAGACUGUCAUCCAACCAAACCAGCACUCUGGUGCCAUUCAAGCAAGCAGGAAGAAAGCAAACACAAGGAAACUUAAAAGUCCAAUUAAGGUUGGAACCUAAUUUAUCCAGAAGCUGGGGAGGACCUGAACUGGCUCUAGCAGUUCUGAAAGACCGAAAAAGCAACAGAACUUUCCUCUUAACAAAACUGGUACAUUCAAGGAGAAGCUGCAGGAAUCAGUCUAAGUUACCACUGAUGAUGAAAUGUCAAACCAUUCUGGCAGGCACUUGUUCAGUCUUAAGGAGCUUUAAAUUACUUCACAGCUUGAGAUUCCAGACAAUCAGGCUACCAGGACCCAUGAUGCUGAUAUGAAAGAGGACUGACUUCAAGGAUGUUGAGAAAGAAGAUAGAAAUUUCCAUCUUCAUUGUUCAGGUUCCUUCAGCUACACAACUAGGAGUGCUAUUUUUUUUUUUUGGAACAUUGGAAACAAAACAAGCAAAAGAAGGGGAGGGGAAAAAAAGGAAAAAGAAAACUCCCUUCAGACAACAAUCACCUUUUGAGUUAAAUUCUUAUGCUUGGUCUUAGCCCAGAGGGAUUUGUCUUGAGUGAAGUUCGAAGAAAAUCCUUUCAGCAGUUUCUGAGUUACUUAAAUGUAACCAUGGAGGUUUGGAUUCAGAUGCUUUUUUUGCUUGUAUAACUCAAAAAUAGCUUCGCUUUAAAACUUCUAAAUUAACCCUCCUUAACUUUUCAACUUGUCACCUAUCCUACUGUAUGGCUUAUAAAAUUUUAAAGCUAAUAGUAUAACAAACUCAAAUAAUGAUACUGCAGAUGUUCAAAUGAAUCUUGGGAGGAAUAAAUUAUAGGAGUCACAGUGGGUUGUUAGUGAAGAAAGAGCGGCUGCAUGCCUUAAACCAUGUGUUCUUACUGGUUUGAAACGGGCCCAAUUUUUUCUACUAAGCACCAGUGUGCUUGGGUGUGGAUUUUAAUACUCAGUUACACAUACAAAAUUAAGCACAUAAGUCCUGUUCCUUUUCUUCUCCCUGAUAGCACUGCUUUAGACAAGUCAGAACAUUCUCUUAAAUUUUCCUGCUUUCUUCUUAACACAAUCCUGAUCACUAGGACACUUAACUGUCUCCUAAAUAUUUAUGGGCUUCAAAGACACUGAAAUGCUCUGUGAUUCUCUUACUGUUAUUAUUUUAUUGCCAGAAGAUUGAGGCAAUGAGAGGUGAAGCAUCUUGGUAAGUUAUGGUUUUUCCUUUUUCUUUGUCCAACCCUCCUGUUGCUUUCUGACAUUUCUUCCUCUUUGUCUUCUUUCCAACAUUUCUGUCUCACUUACUAGUCCUGUUCUCACUGUCUCCUAUUUAUCUUUCAAACAUCUUUCUCCAGUUAUUCCUCUCUAACAAUUGCACUGAAGAGAGCCUGCGAUAGAGAGAAAUUAUUUUUACUUUGGCAGCAGCUUUUUACUUUUAUCUUUUCCCUAAAUGUCUGGGAUGGGUCCAGGCAGCUCUCCCCACUUUCAUCAUCUCUCUUCACAUCCCUCGUGACCCUGAACUCUAGUCAGCAAUCUGAUGUCUGCCAUGAGAGUGCCUCCCAUGAUCCAAAGCCACAAUCAGACUAAGGUGUUGUAACACCAUGUGUUGCUUUACCUACUUACCACGCUUGCUCUGCCGCUUUCUAGGAAUUGGACACCUGUGCCAGGUUUUUCUCACGAAAUAAUGACAGUGCUGUCACCUUCUGCACGUCUCUCCUCCUUGCUCCUCUGCCCCUCUUCCUCUCCCAAGCUUUUGCGGUUCAAUCUCCUGGCUGGUGCAAUUUAGCCAAGAUACAGGAGACUUGUAUUCAGCCUCUGCCCGAGGCAAUUUGAACUUGAAUCUCUUGCACCCUGAAUUAGCACCUUACCCAAGACAUUAUCUACUCUUCUGUAAGGAAGGUGACCUGAGUCCUUUCUUCAAGUGGAAAAGCUUGAGCUUGACUUGACAGCCUCAUAGUGGAGGCACUCACCUCACCUGGAACAGGGAAACCACGACUGCCAGGGCCUGCCCCAGUCAAUACUUAAUACAAAGUAUGGAAGUGUUCUCUGAAAGAGGGUAACAAACCCCGGGCUUCUUGCUUUCAGCAGUGCUCUGAGAGCAAGCACACAGGGCAAUCCUGUUAGUAUUUAAUUAUUCCAUACAAACUGGAACAACUUCAACAGGAUGGACUGGAGAGAGACCCUGCUUGACAAGAUCCUUUUAGAACUGUGCUAGUCUCUCUUUACUGCUGUGGGUCAGCUCGCUCAAUACCCCAGAGCAGCAAUGGCAGCUGCCUCAGCACCACUGACUUGAUAUGGGACUAGGUAGUGAGGACAUGUGUGGAGACUGGGUGGGAGGGAAGGGAUGGAAAAGGUGUUCCUGAAGUAUAUUCUGUUAUCCAUGGCAAUGGGCUUGUAGUCAUAGCUGAAACAAGCACCUGCCACUGCUGCCUCAGUUAUCAUUCUGGAAAGCAGUGGCAGAAAAUAUGUGGUGGAGGGAAAAGAAGUCUUAAAAGACAGGGCAGCAGGCUGGGGCACUAUAACGGAAAUUGCUUUUCAAGGUGGAAAUGCAACAAAAAUAGACUAAGAAAUCUUAAAAGACAAAGUCAAUGCCAAAGCAGAGGAAGCCAGAAUGACUUCCAGAGCUCAGCUAUAGGCAGUUGUCCCCCAACAUAAGCCAGACACUGUCAGUGUGUGGGAGACAUCCAGGAAUUUUUUCUCCUACAAAAAUGUUAGGGACAUUAUAUGUUUUACUGUAAUGGAAAACUCGAGCUCUAGUGCUCAGUUCCAAAGGAGAACACUAACCAUUGGAAGCAAUGUGGUACAGGGGGCUGUGUGUGUAUGUGUCUGCUCAUCUUUCUCCUAGGGAUUCUAUAGCUUCCUUCAUUCUUCCCUACUCUCAUAUUACAGAAAGAAGGUAAUUUUUCCUGGCCAUUUACUAAAGCUCAUUAAAGACUGAAGAGAACAAACAAUGCUAUUCCUUAGAGACUACCAUUCAAAGUCAUCCUACAAUUCUCUGUUCUAAUACUUGAGACAAAUUAAUUAUUCCUUAGUGAAAAGUGUAUAAUUCCUAUUCUUCAUUUUUGGGGUGGGGAGUGGGGAAUAAUAAUAGGAAGUUUAUAUCUGAGUCAAAAGCUUUCUGUGCUGAAGGGAAAUGAGAAAAAAUGUGUGUUCCGAGAAGAGUAAAAGCAAUUAUUCUAAUAAUAAUUCUAGGGAUAUUAAUGUCUUUUUAAAGUAGAUUGCUUUCAAAUAAACACCAAAGUUGAAGGCAUAGGAAAGGCUGGUUUAUUUAUUAAUCAUUCGAAAAGUGCAUUUUUCUAAAUGAACAAGUGUAUGAGCAACUUCGCUGGCACAUAUUAAAUUUAGUUAAACGGCAACUUGUAAAUGUCUAAAAACUUCUGUAACCAGAGACUAAUUUGUUUAAUGUGUUGAAAAUGUUAUGUGGAUGUGAGGAGCUACAUAUUAAACUUCAAAGCAAAAGGCUCCAGAGAUUACACCAUCUUAAAGACUGCAUAUUGGAAAGGCCUUUAUACAUUAAACAGAAAGGAUUUUUAAUUCUCUUCUAUUUUGAAUACUUGUCAAUCUGUGUGACUCAUGCUUAAGAUUGUAAACUGUCAUUUAAGGUGUGAUGUCCAAGUUGAGGCCUGGACCACGAUUUGCAAGGGGCUGGCUUUUCUCUUUCAUCUCUAUUAAUUAAUCCUGUCUCAGUUUGCCCAGCGUACACUUCUGUUGACAUCACCUUUUCCAUAUACUUUAAAGAGUCCCCAGAGAGAUCUACUGCAGAACAAAAACUGGACAGAGAAUACAUUUGGAAACCAUUUUAUUUCUCAAUUACCAACCAAAACGUAUGGAAAAGAUUUACACUCUAUCUGAUUUACACAAUAAUUAUACUUUGAAAGCUUAGAAAUAAAUGGCUUGAUCCCUGAAAUCAUUAGUUACUAUACCAAAUGUAAUUGGUGUAAACUAAUGAGUUUACUGGAUGGCUGACCCUUAAUUACUGAUUAUAGUUAAACUCUAGCCAAUCAAAAAUUCGUUUACUUAUAAAAGUACAGUAUAGUAUUAACAAGCAUUACAUUUCCAAGCAAGCAGCUUUAUGAUUAGCUGUAGCACACAACUCAAGCCUGUUCAGGGCUAUCAAAAGCAGCUUUUUAAUAAUAGUGCACUAAGCAACCAUCACUCUCUUACCUCAGCGUCUAUCAGACAAACAGAAGAAAAACCACAUAAUUAAUCAUCUCAUGCAAUAGAAAUAAGGCAUCUGGGCCAGAUCCAGGCGGGGUAUACACAGCUGCCUUAGUCAAGAGAGCUGCAAGAGGCUGGGGAUUUGGUUUAAGAUAGGAUAACUGCCAUGGGGAAUUCUGGCCCUCUGGAGGGGGCAAUCUGUGGUAUGGAAGUGAAAUAUUGAUUAUGUGCAGUCCUGUGUGAUGUGGAGAAACCUACUGAAAAAAUAGGUUUAAUAAUUCCUUGAACUGAGGAGGAUUCCUUGGGCAGGUUCAAUAUGUGGUGAUAGGACGUUUGGUUACUGUACUGGCAAUCCCAAAAAUUCGAAAGUCAUGAUUCCUCACUAUUUAUUAGAUCAAAUGAAGAAUCAUUUUUUAAAUAAAAUACUAAAUGGGAACAAAUUAUCUUUAUUUGUCUCUGGUUGAUCUUUAAGAAUGAAUGUUUUUACCUAACCAGGAAGACUCAAAAUUUCUAUUAAAAAGGUUUAAAGCAGAUUUGUAUUUAGACCAUUUCCAGAAUUGGGACUUUAAACAGAUACACCAAAUAUUUUGAUAAAAUCACAGGACUUUACAAUAUUUACAGUCAUAUCCUUAAAGAUACUUUGGUAAGAGACUCCAGUGUUUUAAAGAUGCAAAAAUUCUCCGUCUCCUAGAUUGUUCCUGUGAAUCCUAAACUUCAGAUAGGAGAUUGAUACCAGAAGGCACAACCAUUAGAAGAUGAGGUCUGAGGUCUGAUACACAGCUGCUGCUGUGGAGAUUUAGUUGGAAGAAUAUGUAUUUGCUGGAGAGUGCUCUUCAGAUGACCCAACAGACCUCACGGCUGCCAGGAUUCAUUCUGUUGGGAUUACAGUCUCUCCCAUUUCUGCUUUUCUCUAUGAUGUUCUUUCUCUCUGGGGCUCGCCUUUCAUAAGGAGCUACACUCAGCAGAGGACUAACCUUAUCUGAUGGCUCUUUGGAACAAGUGCUGUAACACUUGCCCAUUUAUUAGUAUAAAAAUUUUCUUAAAACUCAGAAAAUGAAGAAUGAAUUAGUUCUCAGAAUGUCUGCACAUGGGUUGAAGUGAAAUUUAUGCAUUUACUGAACUCCUGUUUGAGAGAUGUGUCUGGGGUCAAGAAAAGGUUAAAGUUGUUUACUGCCUUCAAGCUCUGGUCUUAGAAGUUAAUUCAGAGCUGUGGUGUGAGCAGCUACAGAGAAUAAGUCCUUGGAGCAGUGAAUUGCUGGUAUGAUGUCAAGGUCCAUGGGCCUUAAUAAUAAAAUUAGUUUGUUUCUUAAGGAAAUCCUAGCAGAGACUUUAUAGUUAUAUAAAGUCAUUACACUGUUUUACAAAAUAACUUUAAAGAUGCUUUGGAAUGAUCAGAGUUUGUGGGAAGGGAUCAUGUUUUUUAUUAUUUGUGGAAUAUCCUCAAGCUGUCAUAGCUACAGCCCUGCCACUUGGAAUAGCUGCUCUACAGUUCAAAAGAAAAGACAAAGGAUCUUUUGAAGCCUAAGUCAGGCAAAUAGGGCAUAUCUGUCCAGAGAAAGCUUGUUGAAUGGAAUGGAUCCCACGUACUUCCUGAUAAUUGAUCCCAAUUUUGUAGGAGCUAGAUAUUUGGGGUAAUCAAGGUAUUUUACUACAAUUCUACAAGAGCAGAUAAGAGAGCCUAUGAAGUUCUACAAGCUCUGCUUUUCACAGUUCUCUGUUGGAGGAUUUAGGGGUGAGCAAUUUUAAAAGUCAUAGAAAAGGAAGAAGGCAUACUUUUCAAAACGUCAAGAUUCUGUGAAUGCAAAGACAGAGGAAACACUAAAUGAGACAAAAACUUUCCACCCUCUGCACAGCACUGCUGAUAAGAAUAACACUGCAUUUCUGCUCUGCUAACACUGAGGCAACACCCUCCUCCAAUGCAGAAGGGAGACAAGGAACCACUGAUUCAGGAGGAGGGGAACAGGCUAUGGACAGGUUCACUCUCCCCAGCCUGCUGUCCCCGUGGCACAGAGGGAAGUGGGGCUUCUGGAAGAGACUGGUGGUGCAAGCACUGUAGGGCCCCACUUUCCUCCUUUUCUGUGAACUCUGCCUAACUGUUUCUGUGAAAGAAAGCAUCAAGCCCCAUCUUGUUCAUGGAAAUACAACAUAUUUUAAAGCCAUAGUUAAUGGAUAAACUGUUUUCUGAUUGGAUGAGCCACACAAUAAAUCUCCUCCCGAGCCAAGUGCAAUGCAGCUUAUUCAGUUACAGUGAAAUAAGCCACUGUCACUUUGCUGCACUUGCAUACAUCAGGCAAAAUGCUUCCAUCUUCAUCAGCCUUGUAGUGAAAUAGAAAUAAAACAAUUGUAACAGAAUGGUGUCACUGGAUCUGUGGCACCUGCUUUAAAAAUAAAUCUCUUAGCUUUGUCUUCACUAUUACUUUCAAUAAAUGUCCUAGCAUUGCCACAGCAUUUAUCUAGCAGCAGGAAACCAUUAUACUAUGACAACAAUCUAUUCCAUUAACAUUAGCUCUUAAUUGUAAGACUGUUUAUAAGACAGCAAAAGCUACUGAAUCAUAGUAGAAUGAUAAAAAGAGUUAUGGUCAUGGAGUACAGGAGUCGCUCCAGUUUUGAAAAACAAGAAGAGUAGAGAGCUAUAUUUUUGUAUGAAAAAUUAUGUAAUAUUCUUACGCAAUACAAUGUUUUCAAAUAAUGGAUUACAUCCUCAAGUAACUAUUAAAGAGUUAAUGUUAAAAACUGUUACUAAGAAACUCUUUGAUAAAUGGUAGAGCUUAAAAAAACUGAAUAGAAAGCUUAGAAACUCUUCUUCUUGCUUUCAGCAAGGCUGCGUCGAUUCAAACAGAGAAAGCAUCAUAACAUUUGUCUGGCGGAGAGAGCAGAAGGAAUGUUGCAGAAUUGAGAUAUGAAGAACCUCACUGCAGAAUAGAAGGAGAACUGUCAUUCUGAUUGUUUGUCAUUAUUGUUUCAUGUCCAGUUAAGUGAACUUAAAGUGACAGUUGUGUCAUAACUCCUGGCAUCUAUGUAAAUUUCAAAUCAAAUAUGAUAGAGGCAUUUCCGCCAGAUGCAAGUCACCAGGCUGCUCUUCCUCUUUAUUUUUGUAGCCCUCCAUUUUCUUAAACUGUGCUGGUAGCUCUUAAAUUAAAAAGACAACUUAAGGGGAUCUCUGUUAUGUGCAUGUCUCAGUUCUCAGUCCAUACCUUGCUUUCUCUCAGCUUUUUGAAACAAUGGCCAAUGUCAAAUUUCCAUCAGAAAGAGUCACUACAAACAUCAAGACGUAUUAGCUAAAACUGUGCCUUCCCAUUGAUGAUGUAUCAUAGAGCAAAACCCCAUGAAAUUCUAGGUUGUGAACAUCCCCUCAAGGCUUACAGAGAAAACAGCUCGAGCAAAUGUUCCUCCAUUGGUUUACUAUAGCCCAAACCAGGUCUUCUCUGUGCAUAGGUAUAAAACAGGUGGAAAACAUUGCUCGUGGACUUUUCUGUGAAUUACAUCAUUCAGAGGUUAUGGGAGCUUCACAGGGAUAUCAGAUGUACUCCUCCAUAGCGAUGAGUUACAGGUAAAUAACUCAUUUCCUGGAUACACUCAUACAGAUAGUCUAACGACACAGGAUUGCUACUGGACACAUAUCUUAUUGAAAAUAAUUUCAAUGCAAUUAUAAAUGUAUUUUGUGUGGACAACAUCAUCAAAAAUAUUAAACAUGCUGUUUAUUCACUCAGGCAUAAUACUAAUUUCUUCUGCAUAUUUAAGGUUAUUUGGCUAAUUAAUUAAAUAAUACAGGCUUGAGCUAAGUUUUCAUUUUUCAUUGUAACAUAUUGCAUAAAUGAUGGUGCUAUAAAUAUGUACCUCUGCAUUAGGUAAGCACAUUUCGGUCAGUUGAUUGAGGCAGAUUUUUAUUUUUUCAAUUCCUUUCCAGUUGAUCUUUUUUGUAUGGUAAAUUUAAACUAGCUCCAUAGCUACUUUUAUCUACAAUUUGGGCCUUCAAACAACCAAAUUGUGCUGUCCCACUCUCUAAUCUGACCAUUUGUUAAAGUGAUUAGUGAAUAGAGGCAACAUAUUAAUGACAGUUCUAUAAAAGUAUCUGUGAAUAAACAUUUUUUACCUUAAAGGGUAAGUUCUAUAUGAGUUUAUAUUUGUAAGUCAAAGGGUUUUUUCCUUGUUAAAGAUGAAUACAUAUGAAUCAUAAAAAUAUUCAUAUUUGUGACAAAAUAUCACUAUACAGAUAUGUCAUCACAAAAAUCAAUUGUCAGUACAUGUUUAAGAGUAUCAAAUUAAUUUUAACUUGUUUGCUUUUAAAAUGUCUUAUUUUAUUAGAUUGUGGAAUGUAAAACCCUCUUUCAAAAUUGAUAUAGUAUUUCCAAUUUUAAGAUUUUUUUAUGUAGUGAACUUAUUAUCACAUAUGCAUAUUCCUAGAGGCCUCUAGAGAUUCUCAAUUUGAAACAAAAAUGACAUAGAAUUACAAACUGUGAUAUCUUUGAUUUAGUUGCAGAACUCACUUGCAGGACUUUCUGCUACCUACUGAUGUCUUGUGGUCAUAUAUUUAUUCUCCUAACAGGAAUGUGAACAGGACAAAUUAGUGAAUGUAAUUUUAGCCAUAUGAGGUCAUUACAAAUAUAGGCUUAGCUUUUCCAAAAGUGGACUUUAUUGUUAAUAUAAAUAUAUAUAAUUACUGACAUUUAUAUUAUUUGGCUCCUGUCCUCAGUUAUGGAUACAGUGAUGAUAAAAGGGUCUUGCAAGCCCUUACCUAAGCAAACUGCGCUUACCUCCCAUGGUUCUGUGUUAUUGUACAUAAAGUUACUCAUGUAUUUAUAAGUAAGUCAAAUCUAUACACAGAUUUCUAAAAGUGACUUAUCUUACUCUUUUGGGCAAACAGUACUGUCUACUGCUUAGAAAAGAAUGCUCUAAGCCAUCCAGGAUUCCUCCCAGCUUCUGAGAGGAUGUGAUUCUGCUGUAUCAUUAGAUAUCGAACUUAAAUACUUAAUCCAGUCACAUUUUUAAAUUGUUUGAGGCCUAAACCAGAAGAUUCCAUGUUGAGUAAAAGUAUGCAUUACUUUAAAGUAAGAAAUGGCUGUUGAUUUUUCAUCACUGCUUCUGGAGAGACUAGGGUCAGAGAGUUUGUUUUAAAAGUUUGUUUGUUCAAAAGGGGUAGCUUGCAAGACACGUGGAUUAGCAAAGCACCACAUGGAAGAUUUCAAAGCAGCAGCCUCAACAUUUCUCUCUAAUGAGAAAAGGAAAAGAGUCCCAUAGGUAUGAAGUAUGCAGGGAGAGAACCUAGAGGUCCCAAAGGAAUGCAGUAUUUAGGGAGAGAACCAAAACUCCUUUCGUGAACAGAGAGAUAACCCUGAUGAAUUCUGGACUACCUGCUAUCUUAGGGGCACGUCUAGGUUUAAGAAUGAUUUGGAUCACAGGCUGUAACAUUUUCCAGACAUUCAGAUUGCAACUACUAAGCCAGCAAUUUUAUGCUUUCCUUUCCCUGACUCCAACAGUACCGCGAUAUAAGCAGCCAGAUUUUCUUCUGCAUUGUGUUUUUUUAUCCAUUCAGCCAAAAUUAAGUCUUCUAGGGUAACGUAUGCCAAGUGAAUUUAAAUCUUGUGGACUCAAAUCGACCUAAAGUUGAUGGAUACAUUCAUGCCUACUGCUGAAAUCUACCAAUUACACAGAACUAUGUUAACUUACCAUA